rnacentral:sRNA from 1 species
AGUUGUAAAGCAAACAGUGUAGGUAUUGGAAGCCGUUCACACCUCCUUUCCGAGUAUCUGCACGCCUUGCUGGCCCAGAGCACAACACCCCCAUUGUGCUCCCCCGGCUCAGAAUCCAAGGAAAGAAAGGAAGCGAAGCCUCUGCAUUGAGUUCUAGGACAGCUGAGACACUUGGAUUGGACUUAAUCUUAAACCUCUGGAGUUCAAGACCUUUUAAAAGGGCUAAAUAAACAAUCUCUACAUGUAAAAGGCCACUGACUCCUACUUCCUCUGUAUAGAGCAACUGUUGAACUCAGCUGCCUGUAGGGCGUGAUUCUCAGUCACCAGACUCAGCUUGGAGAUCUUACAAUGAUGGCAAUCAGGAGACACUGAACGGAGAUGCUACAUAUUCCUCUCUUGCAGCAAAAGGUUUUAGAAACGUUCGACCAAACCUACAAGAUAAAAGAUCACCAACUCAGGCACCCCCUCCACCAGAAAGAAAAGAGAGCUUUCAUAGCUCUUUGAUAACCAGUCACACAAAGGGUGUCAUUUUAGACCAG